rnacentral:rRNA from 1 species
CCCUUAGAUGUUCUGGGCCGCACGCGCGCUACACUGAUGCAUUCAACGAGUCUACAACCUGGUCUGAUAGGGCUGGGUAAUCUUUUGAAUGUGCAUCGUGAUUGGGAUAGAUGAUUGCAAUUCUUCAUCUUCAACGAGGAAUGCCUAGUAAACGCAAGUCAUCAGCUUGCAUUGAUUACGUCCCUGCCCUUUGUACACACCGCCCGUCGCUACUACCGAUUGGAUGGUUUAGUGAGAUCCUCGGAUUGGUCACGGCACGGUGGCAACACUGCGUCGGUGUGCCGAGAAGACGAUCAAACUUGAUCAUCUAGAGGAAGUAAAAGUCGUAACA